GAUGAACGCUGGCUACAGGCUUAACACAUGCAAGUCGUGGGGAAACGGCAUUAUGUGCUUGCACAUUCUGGACGUCGACCGGCGCACGGGUGAGUAUCGCGUAUCCAACCUGCCCCUUACUUGGGGAUACCCCGUUGAAAGACGGCCUAAUACCCGAUGUGUUUCAUUGACGGCAUCCGAUAUGAAACAAAGGUUUUUCCGGUAAGGGAUGGGGAUGCGUCUGAUUAGCUAGUUGGCGGGGCAACGGCCCACCAAGGCGACGAUCAGUAGGGGUUCUGAGAGGAAGGUCCCCCACAUUGGAACUGAGACACGGUCCAAACUCCUACGGGAGGCAGCAGUGAGGAAUAUUGGUCAAUGGACGCAGGUCUGAACCAGCCAAGUAGCGUGCAGGAUGACGGCCCUAUGGGUUGUAAACUGCUUUUAUGUGGGAAUAAAUUGGCGCACGUGUGCGCCAUUGCAUGUACCUCAUGAAUAAGGACCGGCUAAUUCCGUGCCAGCAGCCGCGGUAAUACGGAAGGUCCGGGCGUUAUCCGGAUUUAUUGGGUUUAAAGGGAGUGUAGGCGGUCUGUUAAGCGUGUUGUGAAAUUUAGGUGCUCAACAUUUAACUUGCAGCGCGAACUGUCAGACUUGAGUACACGCAGCGCAGGCGGAAUUCAUGGUGUAGCGGGUGAAAUGCUUAGAUAUCAUGAGGAACUCCGAUCGCGAAGGUAGCCUGCGGGAGUGUUACUGACGCUUAAGCUCGAAGGUGCGGGUAUCAAACAGG
rnacentral:rRNA from 1 species